rnacentral:rRNA from 1 species
GAUGCCGCUUUCGCGAAGCUUGCGGAGGGAUACAGAGAAGGGACUUAUGAAGGCCGGCGUUUCAGCUUGAUCGUCCGGCGAUCUGGGGACGGACGUCGCAACAGUCUGUUCGCCAGGGAGUUGGACGGGACUGACAUUGUCAGCUUCAACCUCUUCCGCGUUACAUCAGAUAGGACAUUGUUGAAGCCGUGCGAAAUGUCCGCCGAAAAGGUCGUAGCGUUCGUGCUGGAGUUCCGACCGGACACCUGACGGGCAGAAGAAGAUCCCGGCCAACCGGCGCGCCUGCGACGGCCGGCUAUCUAAGGCUGCGCAAGCCUAUAGCCGCAGCUCAUUGCACUUCGUCUGGCGAGGAAUUCAACAUCGAUACGUCGCCAUCCGCGGGGAUAUCGGUACAGGCGCCCGUGUAAGCCAGAUUGAGAAAUCCUAAGCGAUGACUAACACCAAUGACGCCACCCUUCCGACACAUUCUAUUCUUGAGGAAUGCACAGCGAUGGCUGUCGUCAACGCUCUGAAGAUUAUUCUGAAGAACAGCUACGCGAUCUACCUUAAGACAAAAAAUGCCACUCGGGCGCAUCCCGCCCCUACUUCAGGGACUUUCACUUGCUUCUC